rnacentral:rRNA from 1 species
UACGGGGGGAGGCAGUCGUUGUCGGAAUUACUGGGCGUAAAGCGCACGUAGGCGGAUAUUUAAGUCAGGGGUGAAAUCCCAGAGCUCAACUCUGGAACUGCCUUUGAUACUGGGUAUCUUGAGUAUGGAAGAGGUAAGUGGAAUUCCGAGUGUAGAGGUGAAAUUCGUAGAUAUUCGGAGGAACACCAGUGGCGAAGGCGGCUUACUGGUCCAUUACUGACGCUGAGGUGCGAAAGCGUGGGGAGCAAACAGG